UUUCUUCCGUUCUCUCACUCACUCCCAAUCUCUCACAAUUUCACCCUCUUGAUCAAACCUCUCACUCUCUCUAUCUUUAUCUUUUGCUCUAAAAUUCAAUCUCUCUAUCUUUUUUACUCUCACUCUCACUUUCUCACUCUCCAAUCUAUCCAUUCUCAGGUUGGCUGACCGAAACCCUAGAUCUAUAUCAAAACCCUAGCUCUCACCAUUACUCUGCAGUGGGCCGGUGGCUGCGAGACCAUCAACAGCCUUAAUUCCCAUCAUCUUGUCAUCAACCACCAUGUUAAUUCUCAGGUGAGGUAGCUCCGUGGCUUGUGGUUGUGGCUGUGUUGUGCUCGUGUGUGGCUCUGUGAUUAAAGCUACGAUAACGGUAAGUUGUUCUGUUCUCUCAAACUCUAACUAGUUGUGGUUGUGGAUGGAUAAAGUGUGGUUGAAUUGUCUCUGUGAACUGUUGUAUCGUAGUAUGUUUCUUUCAGAGCUAAAUUGUAUCUGUGAAAUGUUGAAUUGCUUCUAAAAUAGUUUAAUUAUGACAGUUCAUAUGGUUUUAAAGUAGUUUUAGUGUGAGAGUUCAUAUAUUUUUAAAAUGCUGAAUUGUGAAUUGUAUCUCCGAAUUGUCUUUGAAACUCUAUUUUUAUGAGUUUUGAAUUUAAAUCGUGAGAUUGCUUGCAUUUCAGAGUUUUUGUGACUCCAAAAUUUUUGAAAUUGCAAUUUUAAACAGGUUAGUUUACAUUUUAGAGUCUUUGUGAUUCUGAAUUCCUAAAAUUGAAUUUUAAAAAGGUUAGCUUUCAUUUAAGAGUCUUUUGACUCUGAAUUUUGAAAUUGUUGUUUAAUUUGUAGUUUUUGUGGAAUUGCGAAUUAUUUUGCAAUUUCUGAAUAUUGUGGAAUAUUAUGGAAUUGUAGUUGAAUUUGGAACUGUUUAAACAAGUUAUUUGCAUGUUUGUAGUUGCAAUUGUGCAAUUUUAAAAUGGUUAGCUUACAUUUCAGAGUUUUUGUGACUCUGAAAUUUGUAAAUUGCUGUUUAAUUUGUAAUUUUUGUGGAAUUGUUGAAUAUUGUGCAGUUUUUGAAUAUUGUGGAAUUUUUUGAGUACUAGAAGUCUAAGAGACAGUAAUUUUUAAAAGUGAGAGGAAUUUUUUUUAGUGCAAUUUCUAAUUGCUAACCAUUAUUGAGUAAUAGGAGUCUAAGAGACAGUAAUUUUUUCAAAGCUUUAAAAUCAUCUCUCUUUAUUUCCAUUUCACUGCAUCACAGUCGGUAUAUGUAUUUGAAACAGAUGGAUCCACAUUUUUGAAAUUGCUGUUAAAUUUAUUGUAAUUUAAUUGGAUUGAGAUUGUGGAAUUUGUGGCCUUAAACUGUAGUGUAAUUGCUGUUUUUUUUUUGUUUGUUUCCUCUCAUGUAAGCAGUGUCUUAGAUAUGCUUGAUAUGGACCUAGAUUCCCCAUCAUCAAUUAAUGCAUCUUCCUCUCAAACCCCAAUAGGUCAGAGUUAAUCACAACCACUGUCAAAACCUGCAUCGUCUUAUGCCAAAUCAACAUUACCUCCAUGACCUCCAUUAGGGGAAAAAAAAAAAACCUUCUAGGUCAGCAAGUGAUAUAUGGAAUCACUUUGUUAAAAUAGAAGAUAGUGAUCCUGAUGAUUUUAGAUGUGAAUGCAUAUACUGCCAUAACGAUUAUGCAUGUGGUUCUAAGAAAUGUGGAACUAGUACCCUAAGGAACCAUUUGAAGCAAUGUUUAAAAAAUCCUUUUAAAGUAGAUGAAAAGAAGCAAAAGACCUUAAAUUGUGAUAGGAAGUCUGAUGGUAAUGGUAGUAAUUUGGUAGCUACAGUUUUCAACAAAGAGGCAUGUAGGAUGACAUGUGCUAAAAUGAUAAUAUUGGAUGAGUUGCCUUUUACUUUUGUAGAAGGCCGUGGGUUUAGACGCUUUUGUAGUGUUGCAUGUCCUAAGUUUGAUCCCCCAUUUAGAAGAAUCAUUGUAAGGGACAUUUAUCAAUGUACUUGGAUGAGAAGUUGGCUUUAAGAUCAAUGUUUGUUGCAAAGCAACAAAGAGUCAAUCUUAUAACUGAUACAUAGACUUUUAUUCAAAAUGUUUGUUAUAUAUCAUUGACUGCCCAUUAUGUUGAUGAUGAUUGGAGGUUACAUAAAAGAAUUUUAAGUUUUUGUGUGGUUCCUAAUCAUAAAAGAGAGGCUGCAUGAUUGGGGUAUUGAAAAAGUAUUCACAAUAACCUUUGAUAAUGCAAGUGCAAACAAUAAUGUAAUUGCAUAUCUUAAGAGGAAAAUGGUACAUUGGAAAAGUUGUGUAUUGGAUGCUGAUUUUUUGCAUAGUCGAUGUAGUGCACACAUUGUGAACUUGAUUGUGUGUGAGGCUUUAAAAGAAUUAGAUAACUCAAUUGUUAGCAUUUGUAAUACUGUGAGAUAUGUUAGAUCCUCUCCUUCUCGAUUGCAAAAAUUUAAAGAGUGUAUAAGUCAAGAGAAAAUUGAUAGUAAAAUUUUAGUAUGUUUGGAUGUUCCAACUAGAUGGAACUCCACAUACUUAAUAUUAUAGUAGGCUUUGAAAUUUCAAAAAGCCUUUAAGAGAAUGGAGGAGGAAGAUGGACAUUAUGCUUCCUAUUUUGGAGAGGAUGAUAGUGGUAGAAAGAAGGUUGGACCUCCUUUAGCUUAGCAUUGUGAUGAUGCUAAAGUUUUUAUCCAAUUUCUUAAAGGCUUUUAUGAUGUGACUCUUAAAUUUAGUGCCUUUUUACAUGUUACCUCCAACAUAUAUUUCCAUCAAGUUUCUUCCAUACAAAAACAAUUGGCUGUCUUGUGUGUUAGUGAGGAUGACUGGCUGUGUGUUAUGGCAAGGAAAAUGAGAGAAAAGUAUAAUAAAUAUUGGGGUUCCAUGGGAAAUAUCAAUAAAUUGCUUCUAGUUGCAGCAAUGUUUGAUCCAAGAUAUAAGUUAGAUUAUGUCUCAUUUAGCUAUAGGAUGCUUUAUGACAAUGAAGAAAGCAUAGUUACUGAAUUGACAAGUGGUUUGAAAAAUACUUUAAUGGGGUUGGUAUAAUGAAAAAGAAAUGGGUUCAGACAAUUGUUGCCAAUCUUCCAUUGGUGUUGAGUCUUGUGGAACUAGUUUGGAUAGUAAUAGCAGUAGAUUAGAACAGACCAACUAUGCUGACCAGGUUUGGAUUGCUUAUUUAAAAAGAGAGAACAAGGCCAAUGUCAGGAGGUCAAAUGUAAUAGCCUAGACCACCCGCAUGUGGAUAUUGUCCGCUUUGGGUCUAGCCCGCACGGUUUUGUCAAAAUACAUCCACAAGGGAAAGGUAUCCACACGCUUAUAGGUCAUGUUUCGUUCCCCUUUCCAACCGAUGUGGGACUUCACAAUCCUCCUCCCUUGGGGUCCAGCGUCCUCGCUGGCACACCGAUCCGGGUACUUGCUUUGAUACCAACUGUAAUAGCCCAAACCAUCCGCAUGUGGAUAUUGUUCGUUUUGGGCCCAGCCCGCACGAUUUUGUUAAAAUGCGUUUACAAGGGAAAGGUAUCCACACGUUUAUAAGCAAUGCUUCGUUCUCCUUUCCAACCGAUGUGGGACUUCACAUUAAAAAUGAUGUUGAUAGGUAUCUAGCUGACCCUUGUAAAUCUGGUUUAAAUAAGGAUUUUGAUAUUCUAAAUUGGUGGAGGGUUAAUGGAGAGAAAUACCUUGUGUUAGAGAAGAUAGCAAAGGAUGUAUACGCUAUUCAAGUCUCUACUGUGGCUUCCGAGAAUGCUUUUAGUACUGGAGGCAGGAUACUUGAUCCUUAGCAGUUCUUUGACUGUUAAAAUGGUGGAGGCUUUGAUAUGUUGUCAAAAUUGGCUUAAUGCUUCUCCAAGUUUGGACAGAUUUUUUUUAGAAGAGAUGGCAUGUUAUGAAAGUUUAGAUGCAGACUUAUGCCAAAGCCAAACAGUGACAGCAUAUCCGAAUAGCAGCAACAAAAAGGAUUGAUUGUGCACUAUGGAGUGGAUGGACAGCGGCAACAAAAAGGAUUGAUGCCAAAGCCAAACUUGAAAGCUUUUGACAAUGAUGAAAGCUUUGUGACAGUGGCAGUGGAGGUUUUGGUAAUGGCAGUGGCAAUAAGAGAGUGGCUUUGGAUUUUUGAAGGGUUUGAUAGUGGCAAUAGGAGAAUGGUAGUGGCUGUUGGAAUGGUAGUGACAGUGACACUUUGGAAUUCUAAUUUGUUAUUUUGAUUUUUGUAUUUUGUGUUUGCAUUUCUCAUUCUCUUUUUUGGCCGUGACAAUUGCAAACUAGCAGUGGCAUUGCAUUUCUUAAUUUUCAAUUUUCCCUUUGAUAUAUGUUGAAUUCUUGAUCAAUUUGUAUUUGUAUUAUUAAACAUGACAUUAGUAUUUUAAAUUUGUAUCUGUAGUGUCUUGUAAGCCUGUAAUAUUUAGUUAAAUGCUUGUAUUUGAUUAUUUAUAAUUUAUUAUACUUGAGAGAGA